AAAGGAAAACAGCCCACAAUUCUACAGUAUACCAAAAUGAUAAACUGAAGAAAUAAAAAAAAAAAAAAAAAAAAAAAAAGCCUUUUGUUCUCAUCAGCAAUCCUCACACAGCUAAACCCUAACUCUUUCUAUGCUUAUACGCUCUCAUAUGAUCUGCUAAAACACUUGCAAUUGUUGAAUUUUUGUUCCUCUCUUCAGUAUUAUCUUCAAUUUUCGAGAAGUCAAGAAUAUAUAUCACAGGUGACACAGGAGGAGCUUGUCUCAAAAAUUUUCUAGGUUGUGAUAGUUGCAGCACUUAGUGAGUUGGCCGAGGUCCAUAAUCUAGAUGAUAGCACAUCAGAAGGAAAAUUGAGAAAGUCCUUAGCUGGUGGUUUAAGUAACUGGGUAAAAUGGAUGAAAAGUGUGGUGAUCAAUGGUUUCAAAUUUGAUACUAUGGAUCGUGAGAGAUUUCGAAAGACUCAAAAUUCUGGAAUCAUGGUAGAAGCUGAAGGCCAAGAGUAUUAUGGAAAGCUCAAAGAAAUUUUGGAAUUUGACUAUUAUGGUUCUUUCAAGGCUAUAAUGUUUUGUUGUGAAUGGGUUGAUGUACAUAGAGGUGUCAAAACAUACCUAAAUGGUGGUGUGUGUGUUAAUUUUUCAAAGUUGAUGCACACUGGUCGAAAUUUACAUGAUGAUCCAUUUAUUUUCUCAUCUCAAGCCAAGCAAGUUUUUUACAUUGAAGAUGAGAUUAAAAAAGGAUGGCUUCAUGUCAUUAAGACUAAGCCUAAGGACUUGUUUGAUAUACCUAAUGAUGAAGAGAUUUUAGAAUAACAUUGUAUUUGAUUCUUUAGUUUACAUCAUACAAUUGAUCAUAUGAGUUUGAUAUUUGCUUUUGAAUUUGUGCUCUAAAAAUCUAUUCAUUUUGAUUUGUGAAUGUUUUUUUUAUAAGGGAUUUAAUGGUCUCUACGUAAGCCAAAUUCUUAUCUAUAGCUUGUAAAUUAAUGCUGCCAUACUCGCUUGAUAUGCCUUUGAUCUUGCUAUCGACAACCUUUUUUUAAAUAUUACUGACACAUAAGAGGUCAACUUAAU